UACGGGGGGGGCAAGCGUUGUUCGGAAUUACUGGGCGUAAAGGGCUUGUAGGUGGCCAACUAAGUCAGACGUGAAAUCCCUCAGCUUAACUGGGGAACUGCGUCUGAUACUGGAUGGCUUGAGUUUGGGAGAGGGACGCGGAAUUCCAGGUGUAGCGGUGAAAUGCGUUGAUAUUGGAAGGAACGCCGGUGGCGAAAGCGACCUGCUGGAUCUCUUCUGACGCUGAGGCGCGAAAGCUAGGGGAGCAAACGGG
rnacentral:rRNA from 1 species